ensembl:lncRNA
GCUCACAGCAGGCUUAUGGAAGGAAGGUUACUCCAUUUUAUGACUGACAAACCAGAGACACAGGCAGUUGAGUAAUUGUCCAGACAGGCUGCAGAUUCAAAUCACUUCAAUGUGGUUUGAGAGGGAAGGUGGCUGAUUGUCCAUCAGCCAUUGGACCUGCAAGCAUGUUGGUGAGAAGAUACUGAGAAUAUCCAAUUUGCUGUGUCUUCAAGGAUGAUACAGAAGGGAGUUGACAGCAGCAGUCACUAAACAUUCUGGGCUGGAUGCCAUGUCUAUCUGGGAUCCGGUAGAGAUGCACCAAGCUGAGAUGCUACAAGGUGCGGCUGAGAAGAAGCAAUUCCAUUUGCCCCAGGAAGUCACAGGAGAUGUUGAAAUUGUUCAAGGAGGAUUCUGGUCAAGCUGCUUUCUGCAAAGAAUGGAAAGCCACCUUACCGAAAAGAUGAAAAGGACCACUGAGAACAUCACUUCGGAACUUUCCAUCUCGUAGCUCAGAAUGGAGUGAUGGGCCUUUCUCAGCCUUGUCCUGCAUCAACAGAACAGCGUCCUGUCCCUUGCCCUCAUCUUCUCCUGUUUCUCGUAGAAUACUUACUGUUAAAAAAACAGCCAGAUGACAUGUUUGACGUGUUAGAAUUCUCACGACUCUAGGGCUGCCAUGUUAUGAGAAGACACUUUGGCUGGCAGUUCCAGCUUUCAUGCACUUUCUAGACUGGGGUACUACAAGUGUGAGAACAAGUUUCUAGAAAAUUCCAGUCCCCAACCACCGAGAUUGGGGCUGGAUUUUGACCCUUCCCAGGUGAUGAAACAUGAAUGGCAAGCC